GGGGUUGUAGCCCAGUGGUAGAGCACUCACCUAGCAUGUGUGAGGCCCUGGGUUCGAUCCUCAGCACCA
rnacentral:tRNA from 1 species